GAUGAAGAACGCAGUGAAAUGCGAUAAGUAGUGUGAAUUGCAGAAUUCCGUGAAUCAUCGAAUCUUUGAACGCACAUUGCGCCUUCUGGUAUUCCGGAAGGCAUGCCUGUUCGAGAGUCAUUAACAACCGUUUCGAUCCCUUUCUUUCAGAAAUUACAAAGAGGAAAAGGGUUUGGUUAUGGUGGAGGAGGGAAAGGGAGCGUUUAGCCUGUAAAAAAAGAGGCUGUGUUCCGCCUCCCCCCCAAAAUUGUACAGGCGGUCGUGUGCGCCCACGCAUCGAGGUGUUGUAAAAGCUGCCACGGCACUUUUCACCUGUGCAGUGCGAGGCUGGCCAGCCGGUUUAAAGACCCCUCCAAACAAUCAAAGGUUGACCUCGGAUCAGGUAGGGAUACCCGCUGAAGUUAAGCAUAUCAAUAAGCGGAGGA
rnacentral:misc_RNA from 1 species